UACAGAGGGUGCAGGCGUUACUCGGUUUUACUGGGUGCACAGGGUACGUAGGCUGGUCACAGAACGCAGCAAAUGAAAUAGCGGGGGCAGAUUCCACGCGGCACUUUUGCGCGCGAUAAUAAGUGACUCGAUGUUGGUGAGAAGUUGGAGCAAGUGGGUAGGGAAGGGUAAAAUCUUUAGAUCUACAGUCGAACGCCGAUGAGCGAAGGCAUCCUUCUAGCAUUAACAGACGCUGAGGUACGAAAGCGUGGGUCGCAAAUGGG
rnacentral:rRNA from 1 species